rnacentral:rRNA from 1 species
UACGGGGGGGCAAGCGUUGUCCGGAAUCACUGGGCGUAAAGGGCGGCGUAGGCGGUUCGUACAGUCAGACGUGAAAUUCCUGGGCUCAACCUGGGGGCUGCGUUUGAUACGUGCGGGCUUGAGUUCGGAAGAGGGUCGUGGAAUUCCAGUCGUAGAGGUGAAAUUCGUAGAUAUUGGGAAGAACACCGGUGGCGAAGGCGGCAUCCUGGACCAACACUGACGCUGAGUGAGCGAAAGCCAGGGAGC